GACGAACGCUGGCGGCGUGCCUAACACAUGCAAGUCGAACGGAAAGGCCCUGCUUUUGUGGGGUGCUCGAGUGGCGAACGGGUGAGUAACACGUGAGUAACCUGCCCUUGACUUUGGGAUAACUUCAGGAAACUGGGGCUAAUACCGGAUAGGAGCUCCUGCUGCAUGGUGGGGGUUGGAAAGUUUCGGCGGUUGGGGAUGGACUCGCGGCUUAUCAGCUUGUUGGUGGGGUAGUGGCUUACCAAGGCUUUGACGGGUAGCCGGCCUGAGAGGGUGACCGGCCACAUUGGGACUGAGGUACGGCCCAGACUCCUACGGGAGGCAGCAGUGGGGAAUAUUGCACAAUGGGCGGAAGCCUGAUGCAGCAACGCCGCGUGCGGGAUGACGGCCUUCGGGUUGUAAACCGCUUUCGCCUGUGACGAAGCGUGAGUGACGGUAAUGGGUAAAGAAGCACCGGCUAACUACGUG
rnacentral:rRNA from 1 species